rnacentral:rRNA from 1 species
UACGGGGGGGGCAAGCGUUGUUCGGAAUUACUGGGCGUAAAGGGCUCGUAGGCGGCCAACUAAGUCAGACGUGAAAUCCCUCGGCUUAACCGGGGAACUGCGUCUGAUACUGGAUGGCUUGAAUCCGGGAGAGGGAUGCGGAAUUCCAGGUGUAGCGGUGAAAUGCGUAGAUAUCUGGAGGAACACCGGUGGCGAAGGCGGCGUCCUGGACCAAUACUGACACUGAGUGAGCGAAAGCCAGGGGAGCAAACGGG